rnacentral:rRNA from 1 species
UACGAAGGGGGCUAGCGUUGUUCGGAAUUACUGGGCGUAAAGCGCGCGCAGGCGGUCUUCCAAGUCAGUGGUGAAAGCCCGGAGCUCAACUCCGGAACUGCCAUUGAAACUGUUGGACUUGAGUACGGGAGAGGUGAGUGGAACUCCGAGUGUAGAGGUGAAAUUCGUAGAUAUUCGGAAGAACACCAGUGGCGAAGGCGACUCACUGGCCCGUUACUGACGCUGAGGCGCGAAAGCGUGGGGAGCAAACAGG